ACGGAGGAUCCAAGCGUUAUCCGGAAUCAUUGGGUUUAAAGGGUCCGUAGGCGGUCUUAUAAGUCAGUGGUGAAAUCUCCCCGCUCAACGGGGAAACGGCCAUUGAUACUGUAGGACUUGAAUUAUUAGGAAGUAACUAGAAUAUGUAGUGUAGCGGUGAAAUGCUUAGAGAUUACAUGGAAUACCAAUUGCGAAGGCAGGUUACUACUAAUGGAUUGACGCUGAUGGACGAAAGCGUGGGUAGCGAACAGGAUUAGAUACCCUGGUAGUCCACGCCGUAAACGAUGGAUACUAGCUGUUGGGGGCAACUUCAGUGGCUAAGCGAAAGUGAUAAGUAUCCCACCUGGGGAGUACGAACGCAAGUUUG
rnacentral:rRNA from 1 species